rnacentral:rRNA from 1 species
UACGUAGGUCCCGAGCGUUGUCCGGAUUUAUUGGGCGUAAAGCGAGCGCAGGUGGUUUAUUAAGUCUGGUGUAAAAGGCAGUGGCUAAACCAUUGUAUGCAUUGGAAACUGGUAGACUCGAGUGCAGGAGAGGAGAGUGGAAUUCCAUGUGUAGCGGUGAAAUGCGUAGAUAUAUGGAGGAACACCGGUGGCGAAAGCGGCUCUCUGGCCUGUAACUGACACUGAGGCUCGAAAGCGUGGGGAGCAAACAGG